AACGAACGCUGGCGGCAGGCCUAACACAUGCAAGUCGAACGCCCUAGCAAUAGGGAGUGGCGCACGGGUGAGUAACGCGUGGGAACGUGCCUUUCAGUCUGGAAUAACAGCGGGAAACUGCUGCUAAUACCGGAUAUUCUCUACGGAGGAAAGAUUUAUCGUCUGAAAGAUCGGCCCGCGUAAGAUUAGGUAGUUGGUAGGGUAAUGGCCUACCAAGCCUACGAUCUUUAGCUGGCCUGAGAGGAUGAUCAGCCACACUGGAACUGAGACACGGUCCAGACUCCUACGGGAGGCAGCAGUGGGGAAUAUUGGACAAUGGGCGCAAGCCUGAUCCAGCCAUGCCGCGUGAGUGACGAAGGCCUUAGGGUUGUAAAGCUCUUUUAUCAGGGACGAUGAUGACGGUACCUGAAGAAUAAGACACGGCUAACUUCGUGCCAGCCGCCGCCGUAA
rnacentral:rRNA from 1 species